rnacentral:rRNA from 1 species
AUUGAACGCUGGCGGCAGGCCUAACACAUGCAAGUCGAGCGGAUGAAGGGAGCUUGCUCCUGUAUUCAGCGGCGGACGGGUGAGUAAUGCCUAGGAAUCUGCCUGGUAGUGGGGGAUAACGUCCGGAAACGGGCGCUAAUACCGCAUACGUCCUGAGGGAGAAAGUGGGGGAUCUUCGGACCUCACGCUAUCAGAUGAGCCUAGGUCGGAUUAGCUAGGUGGUGGGGUAAAGGCCUACCAAGGCGACGAUGCGUAACUGGUCUGAGAGGAUGAUCAGUCACACUGGAACUGAGACACGGUCCAGACUCCUACGGGAGGCAGCAGUGGGGAAUAUUGGACAAUGGUCGAAAGCGUGAUCCAGCCACGCCGCGUGUGUGAAGAAGGUCUUCGGAUUGUAAAGCACUUUAAGUUGGGAGGAAGGGCAGUAAGUGAAUACCGUGCUGUUUUGACGUUACCAACAGAAUAAGCACCGGCUAACUUCGUG